CGCGUAGGCGGUUUGAUCAGUCGGAUGUGAAAGCCCCGGGCUCAACCUGGGAAUUGCAUUCGAUACUGUCAGGCUAGAGUAUGGUAGAGGGAAGUGGAAUUCCAGGUGUAGCGGUGAAAUGCGUAGAGAUCUGGAGGAACAUCAGUGGCGAAGGCGACUUCCUGGACCAAUACUGACGCUGAGGUGCGAAAGCGUGGGGAGCAAACA
rnacentral:rRNA from 1 species